UAUCUUCUCCAUCGGUCUUCUCCGUCUUCUUUGCCUAUUCCCAUCUGUCGUCGGUGUUGAUGAGUCUAGAAGCUUCAUCCGCCGCUGCUAAGAGUUUGAGCUGUGAGUUCUCCCAGUUCUCCCUCCUCUGUUUUCGACACUGUGAAAGGAUGCAUGGAACGUUCUUCUCCCUCUUCCUUGUGCAGUGUCGCAGGUUCUUUCUCCUCCUUCUCUGCUCACGUCGUUGCUGGUUCAAGGAUGUUUGGAAGAGCAGACAUUUAAUUGAAGUUGAGAGGUGAACUUUUAAAUUUUGGGAAGUAAUUCAGAUACGUUAGCUGAUGUUGUGCCUUCCGCUAAUCCUUGAGGGGC